GACGAACGCUGGCGGCGUGCUUAACACAUGCAAGUCGAACGGAAAGGCCCUGCUUUUGUGGGGUGCUCGAGUGGCGAACGGGUGAGUAACACGUGAGUAACCUGCCCUUGACUUUGGGAUAACUUCAGGAAACUGGGGCUAAUACCGGAUAGGAGCUCCUGCUGCAUGGUGGGGGUUGGAAAGUUUCGGCGGUUGGGGAUGGACUCGCGGCUUAUCAUCUUGUUGGUGGGGUAGUGGCUUACCAAGGCUUUGACGGGUAGCCGGCCUGAGAGGGUGACCGGCCACAUUGGGACUGAGAUACGGCCCAGACUCCUACGGGAGGCAGCAGUGGGGAAUAUUGCACAAUGGGCGGAAGCCUGAUGCAGCAACGCCGCGUGCGGGAUGACGGCCUUCGGGUCGUAAACCGCUUUCGCCUGUGACGAAGCGUGAGUGACGGUAAUGGGUAAAGAAGCACCGGCUAACUACGUG
rnacentral:rRNA from 1 species